UACGUAGGGAGCAAGCGUUGUCCGGAAUCAUUGGGCGUAAAGCGCGCGUAGGUGGCCUCAUAAGUCCGCUGUGAAAGUCAAAGGCUCAACCUUUGAAAGCCGGUGGAUACUGUGAGGCUAGAGUACGGAAGAGGCGAGUGGAAUUCCUGGUGUAGCGGUGGAAUGCGCAGAUAUCAGGAGGAACACCGAUGGCGAAGGCAGCUCGCUGGGACGGUACUGACGCUGAGGCGCGAAAGCGUGGGGAGCAAACAGG
rnacentral:rRNA from 1 species